rnacentral:lncRNA from 1 species
UUAUGUUGCCAGCAUUUUAAGUUACGUGUUUAUUAAGUGGCACUGCUCAAAUAACUACAGAGUAUGCAUGGAAAUAUUGGUUGUCUGAAUAGUUUGGAGAUUCAAAGAGAAAUAGCAAGCUGCAGAGGUAUCUGAUGAUUUGUGAACCCUAGAUGACUAUUCUGUGGAGUCAUCUUUCCUUGCCUUUGAAUUACCUUUCCCUAGGCCCUGAGUCAACAUCAAUAUUUUAUACAUCCAAAUUGAGUGUGCUCUAG